GAGGGUAUAGCUCAAGUGGCAGAGCACAUGGUUAGUAUGCAUGAGGUCCUGGGUUCAAUCCCCAGUACCUCCU
rfam:Camelus ferus unplaced genomic scaffold scaffold598, whole genome shotgun sequence.